rnacentral:rRNA from 1 species
GAUGAACGCUGGCGGCGUGCCUAAUACAUGCAAGUCGAGCGAACAGACGAGGAGCUUGCUCCUCUGACGUUAGCGGCGGACGGGUGAGUAACACGUGGAUAACCUACCUAUAAGACUGGGAUAACUUCGGGAAACCGGAGCUAAUACCGGAUAAUAUAUUGAACCGCAUGGUUCAAUAGUGAAAGACGGUUUUGCUGUCACUUAUAGAUGGAUCCGCGCCGCAUUAGCUAGUUGGUAAGGUAACGGCUUACCAAGGCAACGAUGCGUAGCCGACCUGAGAGGGUGAUCGGCCACACUGGAACUGAGACACGGUCCAGACUCCUACGGGAGGCAGCAGUGGGGAAUAUUGGGCAAUGGGCGAAAGCUUGACCCAGCCAUGCCGCGUGAGUGAAGAAGGUCUUCGGGUUGUAAAACUCUUUUAUUAGGAAAGAAAAAAAGUAGAAGAAACCAUCCACGUCUUGACGGUACCCAAAGAAAAAGCAACGGCUAACUACGUG